AGAGCUCUCAUUUUCCCCCCUUGCUCGGGAUGGUGCCACAGGAGGCUGUGCGGGCCCCGCUCCGCUUCGAAUGGCUGGUCCUAUAGUACCCCUCCUCAGGAAUGUCUCCCCAGUGCAAGGACAAAGACUGAAGAGACUGCUAUAUUGAUGGACUCUCAAGCCAACUAUGAAGUUGAAACAAAGAAAGUGAUCACCUGAAGACACCUCCUCUGCUAAGAAACACCCCCAAAUUGUGCAGCUUCUGCCACUAGAACUCUCAGAACAAGAGACAAUCUUUUCAAGAAACAGAAAAACUCAAUAAUGACAUCUAGAUUUUCAUGAGCCAAGAACUUUCCCUUCCUCAUGUGUAUUCCUCUGUUUGUACUUAAAUUCAUGUGACAUUCAUUUUUUUCCUAGUAUGGAUAUGCUUAUUAAUGCACUUGUUUCAAAAUCCCAAAUUGCACAAAUGUGUUAAUAUUUUAAGAAACAAAAUGAAUCCUACAAGGAGAAUGAUUUUUAGCCACACAUAGGGUUGGAUCUUGAGAGUGACCUACAGAAUAAAAGUACUUUUAAAAUAAAGUAGUCAGAGGCUAUUCAAAGGGUAAAAUAAUCAUAGUACCACAUUGGUCCACUUGACACUAACCAAUCGAUCAUUUUUUUUUAAUCAAGAAAGCUAGAUUCUAUCAGAUAAAAUCACUGCUUCUAAAGAGUUUAAAUCUAGUUAGAAAAAGUUAUAGAAAUGUUUGCAAAGAUAAGUAACAGAUAGAGUCAGUAGAGGAUAAGAUCAAAAACAAAACCAAGCAAAAGAUGAGUUCAGGGGAGUUUGCCAUCAAGUUGGCAAAACUGACUUACUUAGGGAAGAAAGUUAUAAAACAGGAAAAUAUGAGAUGAACCUUGAGUGAUGUGGAAGAUUUAGAUAAAUGGAAAGGAAGGAGAAAAUGGAGUUCUUUAGGUGGUUGUAAUUGGAGGAGGAAAUGAAUACACACAUCUUGUUGACUUAAACCCAGACAUUCAGCAGCUCUCUAUACAUAUCUGGAAAAGACUGCACAGUCACCUCCUGUCUCUCACCCCAGGUAUUACUUAGAAUUAUUAUCAUAUUUCCCUUCCUUUAAAGUAAGUAAGGGUGAUUGGUGACAAUAUGGAGAACUAUGAUUUUUCCAUUAACCUAAUAAUAAUUGGUAUUUAUUGAGUUCUGUUAAGCAUUUUACAUAUUAACUCACUUAAGCCUUUCAACAGCCUUGCAAAAUAGGUAUUAUUAUCCCCAUUUUACAGGCAAGAAAACUGAGGUUUAAGUAACUUGCCGAAGUGCCAUAUACAGGGCUCACAUUCAGUAUUGCAGUUGCAAAGCUCAUGAUCUAUAGUGCCAAGUUGCAAUAUUGUAGUCAAUGUCACAAUUAUUACCCCUUUUUAUAUUCCUUGAUAUUUUUCCAUGGCAAACAAUUAGCUAUUUCAUUUAAUAAUCACCUAAAACUUUUCAGUCUUCUGAUUAAAAUUACGCUGGAGUGAUAGAAUGUAUUUUCAUGAUAGAAAUUGGGAAAAAAAAUGGGGAAUGAAGUUUAUCAGCAUUUCAGACUUGUUUUUUUUUUUUUUUUUUGCAAGACUUUGAUGAGAUUGUUCACUUUUGUCUAUGUAAAAUCCCAAAUCCUUGAGAAUAAAAAAGGGGGAGGUUUAAGUCACUUGUUGCAAUGCCCUUUUUAAUAGAGGCAAUAAAUCUAAAGGCCAUAAAUUUAGAGUGACUUACAGAAGAUCGAACUUUGGAGUGUGGCAGAGUAAGGGAUGGAAACCGGGCCCUCCAGUUCACUAUCAGUAGCUUUUGCACUGGUCUGCCCUUCCUAAAUUAAGUAUGCACUUCAAUUUGAUGAGUGGAAACAGUCUAUCUGGGCAGUAACCAGGGAGCUUUGUGCCUAGUAGAUUGCUUCUGUUCUGCACUUCUUUGGUUUCCCACCUCAAUGUAAAAAAUAGCUAGCAAUGAAGUCCAGAAGUUGUCAAUGGUUCAUCCCCAGAAGAAUGCAUAAUGUCCAAAGUUGUAUGUGUAUGAUGUCUUCAAUGGUAUUAAGUUAUUUCAAAUUCUUAGUUCACCUACAUAAAUCAUUUCUAACAAGCAUCUUCUUAACCAACUUUAUGCACAGUGUAUGUUUGUAAGUGCUUCUGCACGAAUGUUUAUACAUGACUGUUUCCAUAGUACUUAUGUUUUUAAAAAUAUUCAGUCAUUUCCUACUAUAAUCCUCAUGUAUCCAUGUAACUGACUCAAAAAUACUUCAGCCACAGAAAGCUAAAACUGAGCAAAUCUCAUUCUUCUUUUCCAUCCCCUUUGCAUGUGGCUGGCAUUUAGUAAUGAUUAAUAAUAUGGCCAGCUGAAUAACAGAGGUUUGAGACACAAUUCUUUCUCAAAGGAGUCAGCUAAGCUGGGUCUACUUAUGGACAAACAUCUAAAUGUGUGGAAGUAUCUGAUAUUUGACAAUGGUAAAUUUCCACUUAGCUAGCUAGCAUUGUCAGACUUCAAUCUCCUCAUGGCUCUGGCCGUCCUGUUUUAAGCAUGAUAAUUGUUGGCCACAUCUCACAUAGUUCUCAUUGAGUGAGUUCAUAAAUAAACAGGGUUUUUUUUUUUUUUUAAAGAGCAGCCAAGCACAAAGUGUGACUUUGUUGACAUUUUAUGUGACUUUGUCAUAUGUUCCUAACCCCCAAUAAAAGCAAUGUUGCAUCAA
rnacentral:lncRNA from 1 species